AAGUCGUAACAAGGUUUCCGUAGGUGAACCUGCGGAAGGAUCAUUAUCGAGUUUGAAUGCGGGCUCUGAUGCUGGCUUCGGCAUGUGCUCGAGCCCCGCUCAUCCACUCAACCCCUGUGCACUUUAGAGGUGCAGUCCUCCGUUGUGGGAGCCGCUCUCCGGAGCUGGGACUGCGCCUCGACCCCUUCUACACAAACACCCGUAAAGUCUAGUGAAUGUGAUCGCCCUCUAGGCGGAAUUGUAAUACAACUUUCAACAACGGAUCUCUUGGCUCUC
rnacentral:misc_RNA from 1 species